GAGAAAAUGGACAGGAUUUAAAUCCAAAACAUAACUUUUUAAAAGUGUGUUUGAAAUCUUUCAUGUCCCCUCUUCCUUCUUUCCUCAGCUCAACAGCCACAGAGUGCAGCUCCUGCCACGGUACAAUGAUCACUUUUUGGGUAUCAUUUUCUUCCAUUUGUCCAAUUUCUUUAACAGCCUUUCCUUUGCCCUUUGAAAAGUAAACACCCGCAGCCUGCCUUUCCACUCAUGGCAAAUAAAUCCGCCCGCCGUCCCUGUGUGGGCCAGGCGAGAUGAGGUCUCCAGCUGCCAAAGAGCAUCUCGGAAGAUGCCGAGCCGCAAGGCCCCAGAGGGACAUCCAUCCGGCACGAGCCACGGACCUCACUGGGAGAAGUCGGGAGCAUCUCCUCGCCCUGUUGCUUCUUCGCCCCCAUCAUCCCUCUUCCUCGCAUCCCCAUCAUCAUUAUCCCACUCACUCCCAUCCUCUGAAAUCUCCCUCCCUCCUCCCUCCAAGCUGGGGGAGAGAGUGCCUUUAAACUCCAGCAAGACCGAGGAAGGAUGGCAGAGCGAGAAGGGAGCAGGGACCCGGCACAUUCAUCUUCCCCUUGGCAGAAAGCUUCCUUCUACCUUGACAUGGAUGUGAAUGGAGAGUCCCAAAGCCUGCUAGA
rnacentral:lncRNA from 11 species